GGAGAGAUGGCCGAGUUGGUUUAAGGCGCAGUCCUGGAAAGACUGUUUAUCAGAAAUGGUAACAAGGGUUCGAAUCCCUUUCUCUCCG
rnacentral:tRNA from 1 species